UUAAGGAAAAAACUAGCAUAUUUUGGCAGUCCAAGCUACUCACAGAAGUAUUACUAAUAGGCUAAUUGUGAUAAUGUGAGUUCAUGAGGGCUACUAAACUCUCGAAGAAAAUUAAUGCCUGGGUGGCUGCUUGUAGGACUGGCCCACCCUGACUGCUGAGAUGCUGCUGCUGGUACCUGAACUGCCUCAUUUAAAGAUGCUGCUACUGCUACCAGAGCUCCUGCUGAGCUUCUGGUGCCCCAGAGGAGGUCUCCAGGCUCAGCUCCAGAAGAAAACCCUGCUCUUGCUCUAUCCACUAGACUAAGAGGACCUUUAAUACUUUUAUUCCUUCUGAAGACCUUCAAUGCUACAAUCAAGUGGCCGUUUGAUCUUCUUUCCAAUGAGCUAAACAGACUGUGCUUGAUGAGACUCUUGUUUGAAAACCUUUCUCCAUGCAUCGAACAGAGGUAUUGCCCAAGUCCUCCCUGG